rnacentral:rRNA from 1 species
UACGGAGGGGCUAGCGUUGUUCGGAAUUACUGGGCGUAAAGCGCGCGUAGGCGGACCUGCAAGUCGGGGGUGAAAGCCCGAGGCUCAACCUCGGAACUGCCUUCGAUACUGCGGGUCUCGAGUCCGGGAGAGGUGAGUGGAAUUCCUAGUGUAGAGGUGAAAUUCGUAGAUAUUAGGAAGAACACCAGUGGCGGAAGGCGGCUCACUGGCCCGGUACUGACGC